CACGUAGGGGGCGAGCGUUGUCCGGAUUUAUUGGGCGUAAAGAGCUCGUAGGCGGCUCAGUAAGUCGGGUGUGAAAACUCCAGGCUCAACCUGGAGACGCCACCUGAUACUGCUGUGGCUAGAGUCCGGUAGGGGAGCAUGGAAUUCCUGGUGUAGCGGUGGAAUGCGCAGAUAUCAGGAGGAACACCGGUGGCGAAGGCGGGUCUCUGGACAGUUCCUGACGCUGAGGCGCGAAGGCCAGGGGAGCAAACGGG
rnacentral:rRNA from 1 species